AUACAUGCAAGUCGAACGAACUCUGGUAUUGAUUGGUGCUUGCAUCAUGAUUUACAUUUGAGUGAGUGGCGAACUGGUGAGUAACACGUGGGAAACCUGCCCAGAAGCGGGGGAUAACACCUGGAAACAGAUGCUAAUACCGCAUAACAACUUGGACCGCAUGGUCCGAGUUUGAAAGAUGGCUUCGGCUAUCACUUUUGGAUGGUCCCGCGGCGUAUUAGCUAGAUGGUGGGGUAACGGCUCACCAUGGCAAUGAUACGUAGCCGACCUGAGAGGGUAAUCGGCCACAUUGGGACUGAGACACGGCCCAAACUCCUACGGGAGGCAGCAGUAGGGAAUCUUCCACAAUGGACGAAAGUCUGAUGGAGCAACGCCGCGUGAGUGAAGAAGGGUUUCGGCUCGUAAAACUCUGUUGUUAAAGAAGAACAUAUCUGAGAGUAACUGUUCAGGUAUUGACGGUAUUUAACCAGAAAGCCACGGCUAACUACGUGCCAGCAGCCGCGGUAAUACGUAGGUGGCAAGCGUUGUCCGGAUUUAUUGGGCGUAAAGCGAGCGCAGGCGGUUUUUUAAGUCUGAUGUGAAAGCCUUCGGCUCAACCGAAGAAGUGCAUCGGAAACUGGGAAACUUGAGUGCAGAAGAGGACAGUGGAACUCCAUGUGUAGCGGUGAAAUGCGUAGAUAUAUGGAAGAACACCAGUGGCGAAGGCGGCUGUCUGGUCUGUAACUGACGCUGAGGCUCGAAAGUAUGGGUAGCAAACAGGAUUAGAUACCCUGGUAGUCCAUACCGUAAACGAUGAAUGCUAAGUGUUGGAGGGUUUCCGCCCUUCAGUGCUGCAGCUAACGCAUUAAGCAUUCCGCCUGGGGAGUACGGCCGCAAGGCUGAAACUCAAAGGAAUUGACGGGGGCCCGCACAAGCGGUGGAGCAUGUGGUUUAAUUCGAAGCUACGCGAAGAACCUUACCAGGUCUUGACAUACUAUGCAAAUCUAAGAGAUUAGACGUUCCCUUCGGGGACAUGGAUACAGGUGGUGCAUGGUUGUCGUCAGCUCGUGUCGUGAGAUGUUGGGUUAAGUCCCGCAACGAGCGCAACCCUUAUUAUCAGUUGCCAGCAUUAAGUUGGGCACUCUGGUGAGACUGCCGGUGACAAACCGGAGGAAGGUGGGGAUGACGUCAAAUCAUCGUGACAA
rnacentral:rRNA from 1 species